CCUACGGGUGGCAGCAGUAGGGAAUCUUUCACAAUGGGCGAAAGCCUGAUGGAGCAACGCCGCGUGCAGGAUGAAGGCCUUCGGGUUGUAAACUGCUUUUAUAAGCGAGAAAUAUGAUGGUAACUUAUGAAUAAGGAUCGGCUAACUACGUGCCAGCAGCCGCGGUCAUACGUAGGAUCCGAGCAUUAUCCGGAGUGACUGGGUGUAAAGAGUUGCGUAGGUGGCAUAAUAAGUAGCUAGUGAAAUCUGGUGGCUCAACCAUUCAGACUAUUAGCUAAACUGUUAAGCUCGAGACCGGUAGGGGUAACUGGAAUUUCUAGUGUAGGAGUGAAAUCCGUAGAUAUUAGAAGGAACACCAAUAGCGAAGGCAGGUUGCUGGGACGGUUCUGACACUAAGGCACGAAAGCGUAGGGAGCAAACGGGAUUAGAUACCCCUGUAGUC
rnacentral:rRNA from 1 species